GGGUCGGUGGUCUAGCUUGGUAUGAUUCUUGGUUCGGAUCCAAGGGAUCGCGAGUUCGAAAACUGACGUGCUUCGGCACCUAUGUCGGAACUCUCGUCCGGCCCACCA
rnacentral:tRNA from 1 species